rnacentral:rRNA from 1 species
AAAAAAGUAUUUUUAUACUAAAAAAUUAAAAGUUAAAUCUUUAAAGUUAAAUAUUUUGGCGGUAUUUUAGUCUUUUCAGAGGAACCUGUUCUGUAAUUGAUAAUCCACAAUAGAUUAAACUUUUUUUUAGAAAUUUAUAUAUCGUUGUUAAAAUUAUUUUUGUUGAAAUUAAUAAUUGAAAUUUUAUUGAAAGGAGUUCAGAUCAAGGUGUAGUUUAUAUAAAAGUAGAAAUGGGUUACUUUAAAUAUUUUCGAAUAAAUAAAUUAAAAAUUUUUUUGAAGUUGGAUUUGUUAGUAAUAUAAAAACUUUUUUUAUAUGAUAUAGCUCUAAAAUAUGU